rnacentral:lncRNA from 1 species
CACUGCUUUCCUCAAUCUGGCUGCACUUCCCUGGCCCCACUCCAGUUUCUCUACAUUUUUUUUAAAUCCUGGACCUUAGCUGGACACAGGCCCCCAGUGGUACCCUGAUCCAGCUAAGCCUGGCCAGAAGGCCUCCUUCUGGAUCCUACCUGUUUCAUUUCUGCUAAACAUGCUCCAAGUAUCACGUCCCCUUUUUGUAAUAAGAGAAGAGAGGGCCCUAACUCACUGGCAGCUGGUGACUCAGCAUGACUCGUGGAUUCCUCAGCAAUGGCUUUUUCCAAGCCCACAUCAGGUUCCCCAUUGGUCACCAGGGAGACAGACCCAGGAUCACAGCCUGUGAACAGAUCUACUGAGCAGGAGGUUAACUAGAAGAGGAAGGGUCAGGUCUAGGACGUAAGAUUCUAAUUCUGAAGUUGAAAAGUUCUUUGAUUCUAUGGGAGCAAUUAUGGAAUUUCUGCUGUGACUCUCAAGCAAUCAUAAAAGUUACGCAAGAAGUUUGUAACCAACUUUGAAUUGCAUCAUUUUCACUAACUCUGAGAUCAGAAUAUGGCAUCCUUCACUGAAUGGAAAUUUCUUAAGCAGGCUCCAUUCCUCUCCCCCAUUUCUCCACCCCUCCCCUUUCUGUGCUACUACCACCUAGGUGUUUAAAGUGGUGAUCAUUUCUGGAUGAGGUCUUACUGGAGAGGGCAGAGAGUGUCUUUUUAAUGGGGGAAAACUGAAAGGUGGGGCACAGACACAUGGCUAACCCCUUGCCUUCAUUUGAUUGUAAUAAGUGAAUUUUCUGUCAUAAAUGUAGUAUAAUCACA